rnacentral:rRNA from 1 species
UACAGAGGUCCCAAGCGUUGUUCGGAUUCAUUGGGCGUAAAGGGUGCGUAGGUGGCGCCGUAAGUCAGGUGUGAAAUCUCGGGGCUUAACUCCGAAACUGCAUUUGAUACUGCGGUGCUUGAGGACUGGAGAGGAGACUGGAAUUUACGGUGUAGCAGUGAAAUGCGUAGAGAUCGUAAGGAGGACCAGUGGCGAAGGCGGGUCUCUGGACAGUUCCUGACACUGAGGCACGAAGGCCAGGGGAGCAAACGGG